AUGUUUGCCAGGCUGCUAAUGAGCUCUGAUGGGUGCCCUAAGCUGCUUCACCUGAGUCCCUCAUCCCCAGAGGUCCCCCUGGGAGCUGUGUCUCCUGCUCUUGGCUUCAUUUGGACUUGCCUCGGAAACUGGGCUGUUGCUGACCCUGGCUGUGACUCCCAGACCUGUUCAACAUUUGCCCAGAACACACCCAAGGCACAAAUGGCAGAUGCAUUCCACAUUUGCUGUCCUCAAAAUGAAGCAAGGAGUUCCAUGUGGAAGUUAAGUUCAUCUUUUCUGCACAAGGAUGAAGUUGCUGUCCUCUGCUGGCCCUCUCUCGUUUUGAUGCACAUGAUCAUCACUGCAGUUACGUUUUUGGCACAAGCACGCAAGUAG
rnacentral:lncRNA from 1 species